CCUACGGGUGGCUGCAGUGGGGAAUAUUGCACAAUGGGCGCAAGCCUGAUGCAGCCAUGCCGCGUGUGUGAAGAAGGCCUUCGGGUUGUAAAGCACUUUCAGCGGGGAGGAAGGCGUUAAGGUUAAUAACCUUGGCGAUUGACGUUACCCGCAGAAGAAGCACCGGCUAACUCCGUGCCAGCAGCCGCGGUAAUACGGAGGGUGCAAGCGUUAAUCGGAAUUACUGGGCGUAAAGCGCACGCAGGCGGCCUGUCAAGUCGGAUGUGAAAUCCCCGGGCUCAACCUGGGAACUGCAUUCGAAACUGGCAGGCUAGAGCCUUGUAGAGGGGGGUAGAAUUCCAGGUGUAGCGGUGAAAUGCGUAGAGAUCUGGAGGAAUACCGGUGGCGAAGGCGGCCCCCUGGACAAAGACUGACGCUCAGGUGCGAAAGCGUGGGGAGCAAACAGGAUUAGAUACCCUUGUAGUC
rnacentral:rRNA from 1 species